CAUCAUUUCCAAAUAAUGUGAAUUUGAAUGUGAAUUGCGCCGCUUCUUAUUUAUUAUUCAAGAAAAGAUCAUAUAGUGCUUCUCUGGGUCUCUUCUGAAUGCAAAAGUAAAUAUUCUGAAAUGUGGCACCACUAGACCAAGAGACAGCAAUUGUUCACAUUAUUGCCAAAUCUUAAGCAUUGCCACCACGUCCGUUCUCUAUAUAAAUACAGCAUCCAGCAGCCUCAACCAUGUCAAUAUACAAAGGGCAAACACACAACAUACUAACAGAGCACAGAAAUAGGCAGUGACUUAGAGAAGGUGAGAAACAGAAUGGCAAAAGACAGCAAAAAAGAGUUAGUUGGUGUCCUCAUCAUGGCCUUCUUGGCAAUAGCUGCAACAGCAACGUUGCAGGAAGACGAGGCAGAAUGCGCAGAGCACCUUGCAGAUCUUGCGGCUUGCAUUCCAUUUGUGAGUGGCACCGCCAAGAAGCCAACAACUGAGUGAUGUCCAAAAAAGAGUUAGUUGGUGUCCUCAUCAUGGCCUUCUUGGCAAUAGCUGCAACAGCAACGUUGCAGGAAGACGAGGCAGAAUGCGCAGAGCACCUUGCAGAUCUUGCGGCUUGCAUUCCAUUUGUGAGUGGCACCGCCAAGAAGCCAACAACUGAGUGCUGUCAAGACGCCAAGAAACUGAAAGCCACCGAGCCUAAGUGCUUGUGUGUCCUCAUCAUUGCGAGCACAGACCCUUCCAUGGGUCUCCCUGUCAACACCACCCUCGCCCUUCAAAUGCCUUCUGCCUGCAAUAUAGAUGAUGCCAAAGCCUCUAACUGUCCCUGUAAGCCCACUUCAUACUCAGUUACGCACUAUAUUUUGUCAGAACCUAAGUACAACCUCUGUUCACAUGGCCUUUUUUGCAGCUCUCUUGAACAUUUCUCCAGACUCCCCAGAUGCAAAGGUCUUCAAAGAAGCAGGAAUUUCAGAUUCUUCUUCCACCAGUGGCUCAAGCACAGCAACUGGUUCCCCA
rnacentral:lncRNA from 1 species